rfam:Triticum aestivum genome assembly, contig: Triticum_aestivum_CS42_TGACv1_scaffold_223103_3B
UAAGUACUCCCUCCGUCUCAAAAUUCUUGCCUUAGAUUGAUCUAGAUAGGGAUGUACCAAGUCACGUUUUAGUAUUAGGUACAUACGUAUCUAGAUAAAUCUAAGACAAAAAUUUUGAGACGGAGGGAGUAGUAA